AGACAGCAAGGAGGGCGUCCACAGUUGUCGUGCCCCCGCUCCCGCACAUCGCGCCGCCCCAUCUUCCCCGACUGUCGUCCCGCCGCAGAAAUCUCGCCCGCCCCUCCCCCCUCGCCCGCACGUGGACCCGCCUCUCCUCGCCGUGAUCUCCACUUCUAGCAAUGACGUCCGCGCAAUCCACUCCCCCCGAUCUGUCUCACCUCCAUGGAAGUAUUCGAUCUGCCGCUCCCAAAUCUCUCCCUGGAAUGUCGAUCCGCGUGAUCCACUCCCCCGAUCUGCCUCACCUACAUGAAGUACCCGAUUUGUCGCUCCCAAUCUCUGCAUCGCGUGGACGCCUUCCAUGGAGUCUCUGUACGUAUGCGCGAUUUACUCCCCCUCCCCCCGAUCUGCCGCUCCCAAUAUCUCCCUGGAAGACCGAUCUGCAUGGUGUGGACGCUCCAUGGAGUCCCCACCCCGCAACCCCGCUCCGUGCUGUGCGGCGACGCGAUCCUUGCCGACCUUCGCGAGCCAGCGCCGCGCCGGCUCAUGGAGUGGGACAUCUAGCAGCCGAAGAAGAAGUUCAAGAGGGGCGGCAGACGCUCGUUCGCUGCGUAAGACGAUGAGGACUUCAAAGCCGACUCCAUCGAUUUGGAUUUGGAGCUCACAGAAGGGGCUGACUCCAGAAGGGCUUUCUCCAGAGGUAUUAGCUCAAGCUUAUUUUCUAUGGUGGUAUACGUAUUUUUGCGUUUGAUUGUUGCAGACGAUUAGAAUCUACGAGUUGGUUGGGGUGCCGCCGCCGCCGCAGGGAACCCCUCGCUGGCGGGUCUGGUCGAGUCCGGUGCGCUUGUACGCGUAUCGUGGCGGCAGUUUGGCCCUGUCCCGGCGUGGUGGCGGCAGUUUGGCCCUGUCCCGGCGUGGUGGCCGCUAAACUUCAUGGAGCUCGAGGACGUGUGGAUCCUCGGCACCUCGCACCUCUCCGCGUCCUCCACACCGUCAAAGGAAAAGAUCAUCGUGGCCCCCUCAUUGAAGAGCCUCCAUCUCUGCCUGUGCCAUUACGUCACUAAUCAAGGUUUUGCAGAGGCAGUUAAUUGCUUCCCUCAGCUCGAGGAGCUAGACAUUACAUUCUGCUCAUUGUAUGGCAUCGUGUGUGAGACUGCUGGGAGAGCCUGCCCGACAACGUCGUCGUCUAGCUCUGCCGGAGCAGGCAAGGACGUGUAUCCCCUUAAAUGUUAUGCCGCUUAAACAAAUGCUGUCAAAUCUUCUUCCGGGAGCGGGGCUAACAAACCACGUUGCAGAGCCCUCACUUCGGAGCUGGAAUCAUGUACUCGUCCAGUGCCAACGAGCCGCUUUUGAAGUCCAACAUGUUCUCUCUCGGUGGCUCCAAGUUCUUAGGCGCAAUCAACAGAAGCAUCAACUUGGGUCAGAUCAACCGAUCGCUGCCUCGUGCUUACCACUUCUCAUUACCCAUGGGACUCACAAAGACCUGCUGAUUUUGUUGGUUUCUUUGGACUGGCACAGGUGGGCAGAGCGCUCUUGCUCUCCGUCUGCUCCGCGUUGUUUUUCCUUCUAAAAUUUCUACCAGUGCGAACUAUCCGUUUGGAGGAGAGUUCCGAGCAACUAGGAGAGUUUCUGAAGAUAUUGGAAGUACAACACAAAAAGGUCAGAACCACUUUUCAAUCUAACCAGAUGUUUAUAUGUUUGGUGGUGAAGCUACAAAAAUUCUAGACUAUGUGGAAUAUUUCCCAAAUUGAGUUGGUAAUGGAAAGUAAAGGACUGCAGAAUGUGCCGCUUCUGGUCUUGAAGGUUUCCAACAUGGUUCGUCAAUGGAAAGGUAGUAUCGGCUUGCGAAAUAUAUUCCUAAGCCUACAGAAUGUAAGCUAAAAUCACGUGCUCACUGUGUACAUUUUUUUCUGGUAACAACAACUUUUUCUGAAAAGAAUGAACAUCCUAAAUCCUUACUCUCUGUAGAUAAGAAGCAUCUAGAAUAAAAGAUAUCCAAUGCCUUUACUGUUUGUACGGUAGAUUUUUCUUUGUCAUAUAUCAUAGUUACCUCUUGAAGUACAUUUCAUCAAGUUGUAGUUAGCCCUUGAUGUACAUUUCAGCUUUGAUGUAUACUAGCACAAAACAGAAAGAAUCAUUAUGGUCGAACUACUACUAUAAUGAGAAUUUCACAUGCUACUGCUAGAUUAUCUUGUAUGCAUGGUUCUUGAGCAUAGUCACAUUAUUUCUAAAACUAAUUCUGGAGAGUAUGUUUAUGUGGAGUUAGAAAAAGUAAUAUACAAAUACAUAUUAUUCUAUAGUAGCUUUAUAGGUAUAAAAAAUUCCGUAUGUUACUUCUGGUACAGACAUUUUUUCUAUAUAAUUGAACAAGCACACCUGUAACUGAAUCCGUUUUGCAACUCCAAACUAAAACUGGAAUGCAUAAUAAUUGCAUAUACAACAACAAAUAUGUUAUGAUAUAUAGGAAUCCAGAUUCCCUGUGCAAUGUAAUAACAUCAUUAAGGCCUUGUAACAGUCAGGAUAGCAUCUGAGUAGUUUAAGUGUUGUCGGCCUAUGUGCUCUAGACGAGAAUUUUUGCUUUGUCAUAUAACAAAUUCUAGGAACUUUUUUUUGCAAAAUUAUAACCAUUUAUCACUUAUCAGGAUGUUGUGUUGACACUAAACAUUCUCGCCUUUCUUGGUAAUAGUGUCCACUUAAGUUAGACGAACUGCCACCAUUCUUUCCACUGCUCUGUUUCAACUUCCUCGCAAAAAACAUAGCGACCUGCAUGUGCGUUUUUCGCCAUGAUCUCAGUUCUCUUUAGCUCCGUCUUCCCCCUUCUUGAUCUCAGCUUCAACCCUUAUCUUUUGUCUCCCUGUCCAUCUCCAUCCCGGUGUGAUCAACUUUCAAGAAGCAGUUGGGACUGGACCUUAAUUUUUGCAUGUCUAGAGGAAAUUGCCGGUUUGGUUCGUAUUGUGUAAGAAUUUGAGAUUUUGAGUUAGAUUAUAAUAAUUAAUAUGUGGUGUUCAUUUUUAUAUAAUUUAUUGAAACCGUACAUAGCGAUAUCGACCUUGUACUUCUACCAGAGUGGCUGAAGGCACUCGUGGCCCAUGGGCUCCUCAGUCGUUCCUUCGUCGGUGUAGAAGGUGGCUGACGAGUAACCCAGGACACGGUGCGCGAGGAAGAUAAGCCAUGGUUGUUUCUGCCGAUCAACAGAUGACAGGCAGUGCUCGAUGAACCUGUACUGCUCCGUUCCUGGCCUCCAGUCCAACUCGGUAUUGGCUUACGCAGAAACGGAACAUCCCGUAGUCCGUUGAGUACCUAGAAUUAUAAGCUGAUGUUCAAUGAGAGCUUCUUACAGAAAAAAGGUUGGAAAAUACUGUAACUUUCUAGAUGGACAGUGAUGCACAGCUCAGCUCCAUCAACAAAUAGCUUCAAUGCUGUAUUUGUUAACUGCCAUAAGUAUUUGUUUUUGACUUUUUUGCAGGUGUCAUGAGUAGUGAAAUUUCAGCCAUCUCAGCUUCAUCAAACACCAUAAAAGGUUGUUAAUGUCCUCUUUUGCCUGUCUAUUAUUUAUUUUAGUUGAACCAGAAAUAUCUUUGUAUUUGACCACGUAUAUAAGCAGUAGCUUCAUGUUUUAUUUCAUACCAGAACUGCUCACGGUUUUCUGCUGGCACGUAGAACAUAUUCUGAGCUGGUACCCCGCAUUCACCACCUGAAUCAAGAUUUCCAUAGAAAGAUCCUGAUCCAGGCCAAUCUCUUUUGUGGCUACCACUGCAACCACAAAUUAGUAGCAUCAGAAACAUAUAAAAACUGUAUCGUUUUAUUACUUGAUCUAUUGUCGAAUUGGAAUCCUGGAGAACCUCCCAACCAUGUAAGGCACAGUAGAAGCAAUGGGCUCAACCUGUGCAGUGAAUUGGUCGCAUUGUGAAAGAUAGCCAUUGGCAUAUGAGCUGGUUUGUUGUGUUAAGUGAACCAGGCUCAAAGUCAUUGGACUCAUUUGAACCAUCAACCUCAGUCCGUUGAGAUGACUAUAAUGUGGUGUGGUGUGACCCAUGAUUGACAUAAAUUAAGAAGAUUUGGUGGGCUUGGCUUGAUGACAACAUUGUUUUUUUGUGUCUGUACACGAUGGCAGCAGUGCUUUCGCCUUAUGUGUGCUGCUCUUCAGGUCUCUAUGGAUGACAUCGCCCCCUCUCCCGCUAUUAUUAAUUUAAUUUGUAGCGAGACUGACAUGAUGAUGAUAAGAUGACGGAUCGCCAUGUCAACAUGGGAUGCUCAUCAUCGAAUGAUUUUAUCUAUAAUUUGCGAUGUGUUUUGUGAGAUGAGUCGGGCGAUGGAAGUUGGUCAACAUGCACCAGAGGUCGAGGCUGCUGAAGCAUCAGAUGAAGAUGUUGAGGCCUACAUCGGCAAAGCCACCGGUGGUGUGCUGAUUUAUCUAUUACUUUUCUUAAACAACAUAUAUAGAAAUUGUCCCACUCCUGUUUACUACACAAAGAUGUUAAGUGUAUUGCAACACAAUAAAUGUUUUUAUGACUAAGUUUUUAAUCCAAAAUAUUCCGAGUUUAGUUAUGUAUUGGUUAUUAUUACUCCAGUCCAAUCAUGGUUAUUACCUGUUUAUAUAUCUGCCAGGAUAUUUACUCCUUUGGUGAACGCAGAGAUGAAUUGAGACAAUAAUGGAAUGGUGACCUUCAAGGAAUUCCUUUUUGCUUUUACUCAACCGAAGAUUAGGCGUUCUGAAUCGAUCGAGCCAGCCCCUCAGGAGGCCUCCAGCAGCUCCCUCCUGUCGUGCCUCGGAAGUAGUAGCUCAUGUUCUAUAUGUGGCGAGCUGAUGGUAGAAAUUACCAGGUUCAUUCUCUUCUGUGAUAUGUGAAGCUCGAGUGAAAAGAAAAAUUAUGUGAUGAGAACAUAGCAGCUGAAGUUGGAAUAUAUUGAGAUGUCUAUAAUGUGGUGUGGUGUGACCCAUGAUUGACAGAUUAAGAAGAUUUGGUGGGCUUGGCUUGAUGACAGGCGACAGCAUUGUUUUUUUGGAUGAGUCGGGCGAUGGAAGUUGGUCAGCAUGCACCAGAGGUUGAGGCUGCUGAAGUAUCAGAUGAAGAUGUUGAGGCCUACAUCGGCAAAGCCACCGGUGUUGUGCUGAUUUAUCUAUUACUUUUCUUAAACAACAUAUAUAGAAAUUGUCUCACUCCUGUUUACUACACAAAGAUGUUCAGUAUAUUGCAACACAAUCAAUGUUUUUAUGACUAAGUUUUUAAUCCAAAAUAUCCCGAGUUUAGUUA